rnacentral:tRNA from 1 species
GGUGGAUGUAGCUCAGUUGGUCAGAGCGUCGGAUUGUGGUUCCGAAGGUCGCCGGUUCGAGCCCGGUCUUCCACCC